UCUGUUAUUAUAGCGAUGUCAAACUUGGUUUGGAAUCAGCGUGAAAGAGGUUUAUGAAGUUGAGAGUAUUCGAAGUACUGUUGAUAAGACUUUAUAAGAUCUUUUGAAAAGAAGUCAAAAUGUUCAGAAGAUUGCUAUUCUGCUACUGUAUCAUUCAGACGAUUUGUUUAAAACCAAUAAUGGAACCGAAGCCUUCUGCAGUGGAGGAAAACUCAGAGCACCCCAAAAGCGUUGUUAUGUCAUCUGUGGAAGCAGAAAGUUUGAAUCAGGAGAAAUCGGAUGCUUUGUUAGCAAAAAGGCAAACUCAGGAGCAGCAGGUUAUCAGACUUUUG